rnacentral:rRNA from 1 species
GCCAGACUCCUACGGGAGGCAGCAGUGAGGAAUAUUGGUCAAUGGGCGGGAGCCUGAACCAGCCAAGUCGCGUGAGGGAAGACGGUCCUAUGGAUUGUAAACCUCUUUUGUCGGGGAGCAAAGAGGCCUCGUGAGGUCAAAAGCGAGAGUACCCGAAGAAAAAGCAUCGGCUAACUCCGUGCCAGCAGCCGCGGUAAUACGGAGGGUGCGAGCGUUAAUCGGAAUUACUGGGCGUAAAGCGCACGUAGGCUGUAUGACAAGUCAAGGGUGAAAUGCCACGGCUCAACCGUGGAACUGCCUUUGAAACUGUCAAACUGGAGUAUGUGAGAGGGCGGCGGAAUUCCUGGUGUAGGAGUGAAAUCCGUAGAUAUCAGGAGGAACAUCAGUGGCGAAGGCGGCCGCCUGGCACAAAACUGACGCUGAGGUGCGAAAGCGUGGGUAGCAAACAGGAUUAGAUACCCGAGUACUA